rnacentral:rRNA from 1 species
UUCCCUACAGGGGGCAGCAGUGAGGAAUAUUGGUCAAUGGGCGGAAGCCUGAACCAGCCAAGUCGCGUGAGGGAAUAAGGCCCUACGGGUCGUAAACCUCUUUUGCCGGGGAGCAAGGGCCGGGACGCGUCCCGGCCCGGAGAGUACCCGGAGAAAAAGCAUCGGCUAACUACGUGCCAGCAGCCGCGGUAAUACGUAGGGGGCAAGCGUUAUCCGGAUUUACUGGGUGUAAAGGGAGCGUAGACGGCAGUGCAAGUCUGAAGUGAAAGGCAAGGGCUCA